rnacentral:rRNA from 1 species
ACCCGCUGAACUUAAGCAUAUCAAUAAGCGGAGGAAAAGAAAGCAACCGAGAUUGCCCUAGUAACGGCGAGUGAACCGGCAGGAGCUCAGAUUUGAAAUCCGGCGUCUUUGGCGCCCGAGUUGUAAUCUGUAGAAGAUGCUUUGGCGAGGAGUUGCUCAAAGUUGUUUGGAACAAGACGUCGCAGAGGGUGAAAACCCCGUAUCGAGUGAGACUUCUAGCCAUAUAAAGCUCUUUCGACGAGUCGAGUUGUUUGGGAAUGCAGCUCAAAGUCGGAGGUAAACCUCUCCUAAAGCUAAAUAUCAGCCAGAGACCGAUAGCGCACAAGUAGAGUGAUUGAAAGAUGAAAAGCACUUUGGAAAGAGAGUCAAAAAGUACGUGAAAUUGUUAAAAGAAAAGCCCAUAGCAAUACUACCUAGGGUGGCAUUCAGCCGUCUCUCUAGACGGCGCACUUGCCGCGUCUUCUAAACAGUAUCGGUCUAGGUAACGGGAUAAAAACCGCAUGAACGUGGCUUCUACAAGUGUUAUAGCCUGCGGCACAAUACCGUCUACGUAAACCGAGGAUUGCGAUUCGAGGAUACUGUUACCGUGUUGCUCUGGGGCCCGUCUUGAAACACGGAUCAAGGAGUCGUAAUACUACGCGAGUAUUUGGGCGUCAAGCCCGAGUGCGCAAUGAAAGUGAUUAGAGGUGGGAUGUGUUCUGCACCAUCAACCGAUCCUAAUGUUCUCGGACGGAUUUGAGUAAGAGCGUAGUGUUUCGGACCCGAAAGAUGGUGAACUUUGCUUAUCUAGGGUGAAGCCAGAGGAAACUCUGGUGGAGGCUCGCAAGCGUUCUGACGUGCAAAUCGAUGUUAAAGAUGAGUA